CACAGUGAAGUGAAAGUUUUCUCCAGCAUUUUGUCGCGAAUCAAAUUUUCGUCUUUAAUGUACACUGAAAUCAAAUCUCCAUUAUAUUUUAUGUGCAGAAACCAGAUAGAUGUUGAAUUUGUGCCUCAAAUUUGGUUUUAUGUGCCGCAUAUAAAUUUUAGUUGGUAACAAUAAAAUACAAUGUCAGUGCACAUAAUCUUCACUUGCGUUCUAAUGCAUUAUAAAGGCCAGAUUGUUACAACCUGUUCAUGUUUCAAAUCGAAUUCUAUAAUACUCGCAGAGCAACGGGAAGAAAACAUGUCAAUUUUCGCAUCAUCCUGCUAACACGAUUUGUGGUUUUGAAGUUAAUUGUUCUUUUGUUUAAAAAUAUGAUUUUAUUCUCAAAAGUUCUAUUGGAACGACUGAAUCGACGGAUUAUGGAGUUUUGUUUGACUAGACGAGAAUCUGACUGUACCGAAUUCAAAUUCUGCGACGGUGGACGACAUGGACUGCAGUAAAAACUGUGCCACGCUUCUAGAACGUUUAAGGAUUCGCCUAUUCCGAAUAGAUACCAGCGCAAACUUCCACAUGCUCUAGCUCUACCCGUACUCCGGCAUGAAUACUUUCUCAUCAACCCUACCGUGAGCAGCGUCACCAUAACCAAGGCUACAAACUUUCUGCCGAAUAUCCACUAAAGUCCACCAAAAUGAUUUCAUUGAAGUGAAAAUAAACAUGAGAUUGAGUUCAAUUAACCGUAAA